rnacentral:tRNA from 1 species
UCCCUGCUGGUCUAGUGGUUAAGACUCUGAGCUCCCAGUGCAGAGGGCUUGGGUUCAAUCCCUGGUCAGGGAA